rnacentral:rRNA from 1 species
AACGAACGCUGGCGGCAUGCCUAACACAUGCAAGUCGAACGAAGUCUUCGGACUUAGUGGCGCACGGGUGCGUAACGCGUGGGAAUCUGCCCUUGGGUACGGAAUAACUCAGAGAAAUUUUUUCUAAUACCGUAUAAUGUCUUCGGACCAAAGAUUUAUCGCCCAAGGAUGAGCCCGCGUAAGAUUAGCUAGUUGGUGGGGUAAAAGCCUACCAAGGCGACGAUCUUUAGCUGGUCUGAGAGGAUGAUCAGCCACACUGGGACUGAGACACGGCCCAGACUCCUACGGGAGGCAGCAGUGGGGAAUAUUGGACAAUGGGCGAAAGCCUGAUCCAGCAAUGCCGCGUGAGUGAUGAAGGCCCUAGGGUUGUAAAGCUCUUUUACCAGGGAUGAUAAUGACAGUACCUGGAGAAUAAGCUCCGGCUAACUCCGUG